AGAAACCAGAGCCGACACCCUGCUGGGAGAGCCGCUGACAAUUUAGCCUAGUGGAAGACCAGCGCCUCUUCCUAAUUGGUGCCUGUUACACCUAACUUAAAUGUCCAUAUGAAAAAAAAAAACUUUGAGCAAGUGAGGAGACUGCUGAGGGAGGAAGCGUGGUACUCCACUUUGUCUUCAAGGUUUUCAAGAGGUAGUAGACCUUGGUAGUUCGGCACAGAAUCAUCAAGAUCAGUGAGACAAUCUGAUUUAUCGUGCCUGCCAAGGUCUGUGCGGCUGAGAUGUGGAGGGAGGCCAGGCCAGAGGGGAGGCUGAGGAGGUGUGGGCUACCGAGUCUGGCAGGUAAAUUAUGUUGCUAUAGCGAGCAGACAGAAUGCACCAGUGUUCACGCUGAUUUAUCGCAGACGCAUCUCGAAGCACUUUACCAACAAAAUGAGGCGACGCCGGUGCGAAACAAUGAAUCAGAGCAAGGUGACAAAACAGAGACGGAGAGUGAACAGAAACAAACAUGACUGGGACACAAAAAGGCCCCAGAAAACCUUUUUAUGUCGACACACAUGCUUAUUGAAACGGCUGAAAAUACAUUUUCUGGCAUUCUGUGCUUGUUUACCUUGCUGUUCAUUUUUUUGUUGUCUGGAUUUUAGGCAGUAAAAAUAAAAGCCUUUCAAAG